GGCCCGGUAGUUCAGUUGGUUAGAAUGCCAGCCUGUCACGCUGGAGGUCGACGGUUCGAAUCCGUUCCGGGUCG
rfam:Clostridiales bacterium S7-1-4 contig65, whole genome shotgun sequence.